rnacentral:rRNA from 1 species
UGGGGAAUAUUGCACAAUGGGCGCAAGCCUGAUGCAGCCAUGCCGCGUGUAUGAAGAAGGCCUUCGGGUUGUAAAGUACUUUCAGCGGGGAGGAAGGCGAUAAGGUUAAUAACCUUGUCGAUUGACGUUACCCGCAGAAGAAGCACCGGCUAACUCCGUGCCAGCAGCCGCGGUAAUACGGAGGGUGUAAGCGUUAAUCGGAAUUACUGGGCGUAAAGCGCACGCAGGCGGUCUGUCAAGUCGGAUGUGAAAUCCCCGGGUUCAACCUGGGAACUGCAUUCGAAACUGGCAGGCUAGAGUCUUGUAGAGGGGGGUAGAAUUCCAGGUGUAGCGGUGAAAUGCGUAGAGAUCUGGAGGAAUACCGGUGGCGAAGGCGGCCCCCUGGACAAAGACUGACGCUCAGGUGCGAAAGCGUGGGGAGCAAACA